rnacentral:rRNA from 1 species
UAAAAAAAGGUAAGCUACUAAGAGCGAAUGGUGGAUGCCUUGACUGGUAAAGGCGAUGAAGGACGUACUAGACUGCGAUAAGCUACGGGGAGCUGUCAAGAAGCUUUGAUCCGUAGAUUUCCGAAUGGGGCAACCCAAUGUAUAGAGAUAUACAUUACCUAUAUAGGAGCGAACGAGGGGAAUUGAAACAUCUUAGUACCCUCAGGAAAAGAAAUCAAUAGAGAUUGCGUCAGUAGCGGCGAGCGAAAGUGCAAGAGGGCAAACCCAGUGCUUGCACUGGGGGUUGUAGGACUGCAAUGUGCAAGAGCUGAGUUUAGCAGAACAUUCUGGAAAGUAUAGCCAUAGAGGGUGAUAGUCCCGUAUGCGAAAAACAAAGCUUAGCUAGCAGUAUCCUGAGUAGGGCGGGACACGAGGAAUCCUGUCUGAAUCCGGGUCGACCACGAUCCAACCCUAAAUACUAAUACCAGAUCGAUAGUGCACAAGUACCGUGAGGGAAAGGUGAAAAGAACUGAGGUGAUCAGAGUGAAAUAGAACCUGAAACCAUUUGCUUACAAUCAUUCAGAGCACUAUGUAGCAAUACAGUGUGAUGGACUGCCUUUUGCAUAAUGAGCCUGCGAGUUGUGGUGUCUGGCAAGGUUAAGCAAACGCGAAGCCGUAGCGAAAGCGAGUCUGAAUAGGGCGCUUAGUCAGAUGCUGCAGACCCGAAACGAAGUGAUCUAUCCAUGAGCAAGUUGAAGCUAGUGUAAGAACUAGUGGAGGACUGAACCCAUAGGCGUUGAAAAGCCCCGGGAUGACUUGUGGAUAGGGGUGAAAGGCCAAUCAAACUUCGUGAUAGCUGGUUCUCUCCGAAAUAUAUUUAGGUAUAGCGUUGUGUCGUAAUAUAAGGGGGUAGAGCACUGAAUGGGCUAGGGCAUACACCAAUGUACCAAACCCUAUCAAACUCCGAAUACCUUAUAUGUAAUCACAGCAGUCAGGCGGCGAGUGAUAAAAUCCGUCGUCAAGAGGGAAACAACCCAGACUACCAGCUAAGGUCCCUAAAUCUUACUUAAGUGGAAAACGAUGUGAAGUUACUUAAACAACCAGGAGGUUGGCUUAGAAGCAGCCAUCCUUUAAAGAAAGCGUAAUAGCUCACUGGUCUAGUGAUUUUGCGCGGAAAAUAUAACGGGGCUAAAGUAAGUACCGAAGCUGUAGACUUGCACACAACUUAGAUUAUUUAAGUUUAGAAUAUGAGAAACUAAGUUAUAUGUUUAGUUAUAUUUUUACUGAUUUUUAUAGAGUAAAGAUAGAAAUAAAACUUAGUAAAAUCAGUAAAAAUAUUCUUAGGCUAAAGUUAAGUAGUUUAAGUUGUGUGCAAGUGGUAGGAGAGCGUUCUAUUUGCGUCGAAGGUAUACCGGUAAGGAGUGCUGGAGCGAAUAGAAGUGAGCAUGCAGGCAUGAGUAGCGAUAAUUAAUGUGAGAAUCAUUAACGCCGUAAACCCAAGGUUUCCUACGCGAUGCUCGUCAUCGUAGGGUUAGUCGGGUCCUAAGUCGAGUCCGAAAGGGGUAGACGAUGGCAAAUUGGUUAAUAUUCCAAUACCAACAUUAGUGUGCGAUGGAAGGACGCUUAGGGCUAAGGGGGCUAGCGGAUGGAAGUGCUAGUCUAAGGUUGUAGGAGGUUAUACAGGCAAAUCCGUAUAACAAUACUCCGAGAACUGAAAGGCUUUUUGAAGUCUUCGGAUGGAUAGAAGAACCCCUGAUGCCGUCGAGCCAAGAAAAGUUUCUAAGUUUAGCUAAUGUUGCCCGUACCGUAAACCGACACAGGUGGGUGGGAUGAGUAUUCUAAGGCGCGUGGAAGAACUCUCUUUAAGGAACUCUGCAAAAUAGCACCGUAUCUUCGGUAUAAGGUGUGGUUAGCUUCGUACUAGGAUUUACUCCGAAAGCGAAGAAACUUACAACAAAGAGUCCCUCCCGACUGUUUACCAAAAACACAGCACUCUGCUAACUCGUAAGAGGAUGUAUAGGGUGUGACGCCUGCCCGGUGCUCGAAGGUUAAUUGAUGGGGUUAGCAUUAGCGAAGCUCUUGAUCGAAGCCCGAGUAAACGGCGGCCGUAACUAUAACGGUCCUAAGGUAGCGAAAUUCCUUGUCGGUUAAAUACCGACCUGCAUGAAUGGCGUAACGAGAUGGGAGCUGUCUCAAAGAGGGAUCCAGUGAAAUUGUAGUGGAGGUGAAAAUUCCUCCUACCCGCGGCAAGACGGAAAGACCCCGUGGACCUUUACUACAGCUUGACACUGCUACUUGGAUAAGAAUGUGCAGGAUAGGUGGGAGGCUUUGAGUAUAUGACGCCAGUUGUAUAUGAGCCAUUGUUGAGAUACCACUCUUUCUUAUUUGGGUAGCUAACCAGCUUGAGUUAUCCUCAAGUGGGACAAUGUCUGGUGGGUAGUUUGACUGGGGCGGUCGCCUCCCAAAUAAUAACGGAGGCUUACAAAGGUUGGCUCAGAACGGUUGGAAAUCGUUCGUAGAGUAUAAAGGUAUAAGCCAGCUUAACUGCAAGACAUACAAGUCAAGCAGAGACGAAAGUCGGUCUUAGUGAUCCGGUGGUUCUGUGUGGAAGGGCCAUCGCUCAAAGGAUAAAAGGUACCCCGGGGAUAACAGGCUGAUCUCCCCCAAGAGCUCACAUCGACGGGGAGGUUUGGCACCUCGAUGUCGGCUCAUCGCAUCCUGGGGCUGGAGCAGGUCCCAAGGGUAUGGCUGUUCGCCAUUUAAAGCGGUACGCGAGCUGGGUUCAGAACGUCGUGAGACAGUUCGGUCCCUAUCUGCCGUGGGCGUAAGAAGAUUGAAGAGAUUUGACCCUAGUACGAGAGGACCGGGUUGAACAAACCACUGGUGUAGCUGUUGUUCUGCCAAGAGCAUCGCAGCGUAGCUAAGUUUGGAAAGGAUAAACGCUGAAAGCAUCUAAGCGUGAAGCCAACUCUAAGAUGAAUCUUCUCUAAGCUCUCUAGAAGACUACUAGUUUGAUAGGCUGGGUGUGUAAUGGAUGAAAGUCCUUUAGCUGACCAGUACUAAUAGAGCGUUUGGCUUAUCUUUAAUAAAGCAU